GGUUAAGCGACUAAGCGUACACGGUGGAUGCCCUGGCAGUCAGAGGCGAUGAAGGACGUGCUAAUCUGCGAAAAGCGUCGGUAAGGUGAUAUGAACCGUUAUAACCGGCGAUGUCCGAAUGGGGAAACCCAGUGUGAUUCGUCACACUAUCGUUAACUGAAUACAUAGGUUAACGAGGCGAACCGGGGGAACUGAAACAUCUAAGUACCCCGAGGAAAAGAAAUCAACCGAGAUUCCCCCAGUAGCGGCGAGCGAACGGGGAGCAGCCCAGAGUCUGAAUCAGCUUGUGUGUUAGUGGAACGGUCUGGAAAGUCCGACGGUACAGGGUGAUAGUCCCGUACACCAAAAUGCACAGGUUGUGAACUCGAAGAGUAGGGCGGGACACGUGGUAUCCUGUCUGAAUAUGGGGGGACCAUCCUCCAAGGCUAAAUACUCCUGACUGACCGAUAGUGAACCAGUACCGUGAGGGAAAGGCGAAAAGAACCCCGGCGAGGGGAGUGAAAAAGAACCUGAAACCGUGUACGUACAAGCAGUGGGAGCACCUUCGGGUGUGACUGCGUACCUUUUGUAUAAUGGGUCAGCGACUUAUAUUCUGUAGCAAGGUUAACCGUAUAGGGGAGCCGCAGGGAAACCGAGUCUUAACUGGGCGUUAAGUUGCAGGGUAUAGACCCGAAACCCGGUGAUCUAGCCAUGGGCAGGUUGAAGGUUGGGUAACACUAACUGGAGGACCGAACCGACUAAUGUUGAAAAAUUAGCGGAUGACUUGUGGCUGGGGGUGAAAGGCCAAUCAAACCGGGAGAUAGCUGGUUCUCCCCGAAAGCUAUUUAGGUAGCGCCUCGUGAAUUCAUCUUCGGGGGUAGAGCACUGUUUCGGCUAGGGGGUCAUCCCGACUUACCAACCCGAUGCAAACUACGAAUACCGAAGAAUGUUAUCACGGGAGACACACGGCGGGUGCUAACGUCCGUCGUGAAGAGGGAAACAACCCAGACCGCCAGCUAAGGUCCCAAAGUCACAGUUAAGUGGGAAACGAUGUGGGAAGGCACAGACAGCCAGGAUGUUGGCUUAGAAGCAGCCAUCAUUUAAAGAAAGCGUAAUAGCUCACUGGUCGAGUCGGCCUGCGCGGAAGAUGUAACGGGGCUAAACUGUGCACCGAAGCUGCGGCAGCGACACUAUGUGUUGUUGGGUAGGGGAGCGUUCUGUAAGCCUGCGAAGGUGGCCUGUGAGGGUUGCUGGAGGUAUCAGAAGUGCGAAUGCUGACAUAAGUAACGAUAAUGCGGGUGAAAAGCCCGCACGCCGGAAGACCAAGGGUUCCUGUCCAACGUUAAUCGGGGCAGGGUGAGUCGACCCCUAAGGCGAGGCCGAAAGGCGUAGUCGAUGGGAAACAGGUUAAUAUUCCUGUACUUGGUGUUACUGCGAAGGGGGGACGGAGAAGGCUAUGUUAGCCGGGCGACGGUUGUCCCGGUUUAAGCAUGUAGGCGGAGGUUCCAGGUAAAUCCGGUACCUUUUAACGCUGAGGUGUGAUGACGAGGCACUACGGUGCUGAAGUAACAAAUGCCCUGCUUCCAGGAAAAGCCUCUAAGCAUCAGGUAACAUUGAAUCGUACCCCAAACCGACACAGGUGGUCAGGUAGAGAAUACCAAGGCGCUUGAGAGAACUCGGGUGAAGGAACUAGGCAAAAUGGUGCCGUAACUUCGGGAGAAGGCACGCUGAUAUGUAGGUGAAGCCCCUGCGGGUGGAGCUGAAAUCAGUCGAAGAUACCAGCUGGCUGCAACUGUUUAUUAAAAACACAGCACUGUGCAAACACGAAAGUGGACGUAUACGGUGUGACGCCUGCCCGGUGCCGGAAGGUUAAUUGAUGGGGUUAUCCGUAAGGAGAAGCUCUUGAUCGAAGCCCCGGUAAACGGCGGCCGUAACUAUAACGGUCCUAAGGUAGCGAAAUUCCUUGUCGGGUAAGUUCCGACCUGCACGAAUGGCGUAAUGAUGGCCAGGCUGUCUCCACCCGAGACUCAGUGAAAUUGAACUCGCUGUGAAGAUGCAGUGUACCCGCGGCAAGACGGAAAGACCCCGUGAACCUUUACUAUAGCUUGACACUGAACAUUGAGCCUUGAUGUGUAGGAUAGGUGGGAGGCUUUGAAGCGUGGACGCCAGUCUGCGUGGAGCCAACCUUGAAAUACCACCCUUUAAUGUUUGAUGUUCUAACGUUGGCCCCUGACCGGGGUUGCGGACAGUGUCUGGUGGGUAGUUUGACUGGGGCGGUCUCCUCCCAAAGAGUAACGGAGGAGCACGAAGGUUAGCUAAUCCUGGUCGGACAUCAGGAGGUUAGUGCAAUGGCAUAAGCUAGCUUGACUGCGAGCGUGACGGCGCGAGCAGGUGCGAAAGCAGGUCAUAGUGAUCCGGUGGUUCUGAAUGGAAGGGCCAUCGCUCAACGGAUAAAAGGUACUCCGGGGAUAACAGGCUGAUACCGCCCAAGAGUUCAUAUCGACGGCGGUGUUUGGCACCUCGAUGUCGGCUCAUCACAUCCUGGGGCUGAAGUAGGUCCCAAGGGUAUGGCUGUUCGCCAUUUAAAGUGGUACGCGAGCUGGGUUUAGAACGUCGUGAGACAGUUCGGUCCCUAUCUGCCGUGGGCGCUGGAGAAUUGAGGGGGGCUGCUCCUAGUACGAGAGGACCGGAGUGGACGCAUCACUGGUGUUCGGGUUGUCAUGCCAAUGGCAUUGCCCGGUAGCUAAAUGCGGAAGAGAUAAGUGCUGAAAGCAUCUAAGCACGAAACUUGCCCCGAGAUGAGUUCUCCCUGAGACUUUAAGUCUCCUGAAGGAACGUUAAAGACGAUGACGUUGAUAGGUCGGGUGUGUAAGCGUAGCGAUACGUUGAGCUAACCGAUACUAAUGAACCGUGAGGCUUAACCUU
rnacentral:rRNA from 1 species